rnacentral:rRNA from 1 species
GGAUAACCUACCUAUAAGACUGGGAUAACUUCGGGAAACCGGAGCUAAUACCGGAUAAUAUAUUGAACCGCAUGGUUCAAUAGUGAAAGACGGUUUUGCUGUCACUUAUAGAUGGAUCCGCGCGCAUUAGCUAGUUGGUAAGGUAACGGCUUACCAAGGCAACGAUGCGUAGCCGACCUGAGAGGGUGAUCGGCCACACUGGAACUGAGACACGGUCCAG